GAACGACCCAUCACUACCUCAGACCGCGUGGAGCACGCUGAGGAGAGGUGGAAAAAAUCACGGAACGAAAACAUUUCUCAUUGUUGUACUCUCUCUCUCUACUCCAUCCAGACCGCGUUGAGCACGCUGAGGAGAGGUGGAAAAAAAUCACAGAACGAAAACAUUUCUCGUUGUACUCUCUCUCUACUCCAUCCAGCAUCUGCAUGCUCCAUGUUAAUAAACCCUCCAUCAGUAGCAGUUCCCGUGAUCCAUCUCUUCAUUUAUAACACAAGGCAGACCGUAACAGUGACAGUGUGGGGCCGGUUACAAUUGCAUAAUAAACCAACAACACAA